CUGUCCAGGUGGUUGGGAUGUGUUCAUCUCCACCCAUAUCACAGCCUGCUUGGAUCAGUA
rnacentral:pre_miRNA from 1 species